rnacentral:lncRNA from 1 species
UUUUCAUGGCUAUUAACUGCUUUGGAUAAAGGCCAGACUUUUGAAGAAGACCAUAAAUUGGGCUUACGCAAUCUAAUACCACUUGGCCCACAUCUCUUGGACUCAGUUAAGGGUCCAUUUCUGGGUUCUAUGCUAUUCCAUUGAUCUUUGUGUCUUGUUUCUGUGUCAGUACUGUACUGUCUUGAUAAUUACAGCUUUGUAACAGCUUGAACUCUGGAAUUGUGAUACCACCAAUUUCGGGUUUCUUUUUCAACAUUCUUUGGACUAUUUGGGGUUUUGUGGUUCCAUACAAAUUUUAGGAUUAUUUGUUCCAGCUCUGUGAAAUAAGUUGAUUGUAUUUUGAUAGUGAUUGAUUGCACUGAAUGUAUAGAUUGCUCUAGGCAGCAUAGACAUUUUAACAUUAUUCUUCCAAUCCACGAGCAGGGAACAUUUUUCCAUUUCUUUGUCUUCCUCAAUUUCUUUCAUGAGUGUUCUAUAGUUAUCUGAGUACAGGUCUUUGCUUCUUUGAUUAGGUUUAUUCCUAGAUAUCAUGGUUUUGGGUGCAGUUGUAAAUAGGAUCAACUCCUUAAUCUCUUUUUUGUCUCAGUGUGUAGAAAUGCAACUUAUUUCUGUGCAUUAAUUUUAUAUCCCACCAUAUUGCUGAAUUCCUAUAUGAGUUCUACAAUUUUAGGGUGAAGUCAUUUGAGUUUUCCAUAUAGAGUAUCCUGUCAUCUGCUAAGAGUGAGAGUUCGACUUCUUUGCCGAUUUGGAUGCCUUUUCUUUUGUCUGAUUGCUGAGGCCAGGACUUCUGGUACUAUGUUGAACAAUGGUGGGGAGAGUGGACAUCCCUGUCAUGUUCCUAACCUUAGGGGAAAAAGCUCUCCGUUUUUCCCCAUUGAGAAUAUUCGCUAUGGGCUUUUCGUAUAUGGUUUUAUGAUUUGAGAUAUGUUCUCUAUCCCUACACUGUGAAGACUUUUAAUCAAGAUGGGAUGCUUUACUUUGUCAAAUGCUUUUUCUGUAUCUAUGGAGAGGAUUAUAUGGUUUUUGUCCUUUUUUUUAUUAAUGUAUAUCACAUUGAUUUGUUGAUGUUGAACCACCCUUGCAGCCCAGGAAUAAGUCCCACUUGGUCAUGGUGAAUAAUCCUUUACUGUUGGAUCCUAUUGGCUAGUAUUGGUGAGAAUUUUUGCAUCCAUAUUCAUCGGGGCUAUUCUGUAAUUCUCCUUUUUGGUAGGGUCUUUCUCUGGUUUUGACUUCAAAGUAAUGCUGGCCUCAUAGAAAGUUUGGACGUUUUCCUUCCAUUUCUAUUUUUUGAAACAGCUUCAAUCAAAUAGGUAUUCUUUAAAUGUUUCGUUGAAUUCCCCUGGCAAGCCACCUGGCUCUGGACUCUUGUUGGGAGAUUUUUGAUUACUGCUUCAAUUUCCUUGCUGGUUAUGGGUCUCUUCAGGUUUUCUGUUUCUUCUUGUUUCAGUUUUGGUAGCUCAUAGGUCUCUAGGAAUGCAUCCAUUUCUUCCAGAUUGCCUAAUUUGUUGACAUAUAGUUGCUUAUAAUAUGUUCAUAUAAUUAUAUUUUUUCAGUGUUUCUUGUGAUCUUUUUCAUUCAUGAUUUUAUUUAUUUGGGUCCUUUCUUUUUUCUUUUUGGUAAGUCUGGCCAAGGGUUUAUCCAUCUUAAUUCUUUCAAAGAAUCAGCUCUUAGUUUUGUUGAUCUGUUGUAGUCUUUUGGUUUCUAUUUCAUUGAUUUCUGGUCUAAUCUUUAUUAUUUCUCUUCUUUUAAAAAGAAAUAUUUAUACAUGAGAGAGGCAGAGACAUAAGCAGAGGGAGAAGCAGGCUCCCUGCGGUGAGCUCUAUUCAGGAUUUGAUCCCAGGACGCUGGGAUCAAGACCUGAGCCAAAGGCAGGCACUCAACCACUGAGCCACCCAGGUGCCCCUUUUCUCUUCUGCUGGGUUCAGGCUCUACUUGCUGUUCUUUGUACCGCUCCUUUAAGUGUAAGGUUAGGUUGUAUAUUUGAGACCUAUAGAUAGGUCUCUAUAUACUUCCCUCCUUAGGAUUGCUUUUGCUGUAUCCCAAAGUUUUGAACAGUUGUGUUUUCAUUUUCAUUUGUUUCCAUGAAUUUGUAAAAUUCUUUAAUUUCAUGCUUGACCCAUUCAUUCUUUAGUAGGAUGCUCUUUAGCCUCCAUGUAUUUGAAUUCUUUCCAAAUUUUCUCUUGUGAUUGAGUUCCAGUUCAGAGUAUUGUGGUCCAAAAAUAUGCAGGGAAUGAACCCAGUCUUUUGGUACUGCUUAAGACCUGAUUUGUGACCCAGUAUGUGAUCUUUUCUGGAGAAUGUUCCAUUGCAUCUGACAAGUAAUUAACUGAAAAUAACUAAUUUGGUAAAUGGUAAGUCUUAGUGUGUUUAGAUGGCUAUUUCUGGAUUAUCUAGAAUUUAAUUCAGUUUACUCUCAUUUUAAUGGAUAAUGAAGUAUAUUCUAAAAACUUUUAAGUCAAAAUACUGUAAUCCAAAUGACUUAUAUUUGUUGUUUUUUGAAAUUUUAUUAGAGCACACAAGCAGGGGGGGCGGGGGAGGCAGAGGGAGAGGGAGAAGCAAGGCUUCCAGCUAAGAGAGCGUGAUAUGGGGCUCGAUCCCAGGACCCUGGAAUGAUGUGAGCCAAAGGCACAUGUUUAACCAACUGAACCACCCAGGUACCCCAAAUGAUUUAUAUUUGAAUUUAACCAUUACUCAGCACAAGAUUUAUAGGUUAUAUCUAAAUAAUAGAAAUUGUUUACAUAACAAAAAUUUUAAAGAUUUUUACUUAACUCAUGAGACAGAAAUGCAGAGACAGGCAGAGGGAGAAGCCGGCUCCCUACAGGAAGCCCGAUGCAGAACUUGAUCCUGGAACUCCAGGAUCACACCCUGAGCCAAAGGCAGACGUUCAACUGCUGAGCCACCCAAGCGUCCCAAUAACAAAAUUCUUUUUUUUUUUUUUCCAAUAACAAAAUUCUUAAAAAGGGAACUCUUGAAAGGACAAGUUUCUUACUCAUUUUUUCUGUUAAAUUUGUUUUGAUCUGUAUUAAACCACUAAGUAUGAGUA